rnacentral:lncRNA from 1 species
UGGGUUUUAAGGAUGUUGUUCUACACAUUCGACCUAUCCGAUCAUCGGGUACCAUUGCUAGAUGGUCACUUCGAUUGGUAUAAAAAUUUAUUCCUAUACUACCGACUUAGGUUCGGACCUAUAAGGUCACACACAUUAGAGUUUAUGAUCUGAUCGAAUGGUUGAUCAAUGAUUAAGAAUCAUUCUAGGGUUAAACGAUCAAUACGAUUGACAUUUAACCUAGUACAAGUGUUGCAGGAGGAUCGAUUAGCAAUUCGAUUGCUAAUUGACUUAAUUUGAUUAAGCCAAUAGACUGAGAUUAAGUCUAAUUGAAUAUAAUUUAAUUAGAUUUGGUUUG